rnacentral:rRNA from 1 species
AGUGAACGCUGGCGGUAGGCCUAACACAUGCAAGUCGAACGGCAGCACAGUAAGAGCUUGCUCUUACGGGUGGCGAGUGGCGGACGGGUGAGGAAUACAUCGGAAUCUACUUUUUCGUGGGGGAUAACGUAGGGAAACUUACGCUAAUACCGCAUACGACCUACGGGUGAAAGCAGGGGAUCUUCGGACCUUGCGCGAUUGAAUGAGCCGAUGUCGGAUUAGCUAGUUGGCGGGGUAAAGGCCCACCAAGGCGACGAUCCGUAGCUGGUCUGAGAGGAUGAUAAGCCACACUUGGACUGAGACACGGUCCAGAAUCCUACGGGAGGCAGCAGUGGGGAAUAUUGGACAAUGGGCGCAAGCCUGAUCCAGCCAUACCGCGUGGGUGAAGAAGGCCUUCGGGUUGUAAAGCCCUUUUGUUGGGAAAGAAAAGCAGCAGGUUAAUACCCCGCUGUUCUGACGGUACCCAAAGAAUAAGCACCGGCUAACUUCGUG